UUUGUUUUUACAACAUAUAGAUGCCUGUAAGUUAUUUUUUACAAAGAUCAAUAAAUGUCAAACUCAUGUUUAAAGAUGCUCUAUUUUGCAUUGACCGCCAUGCGUAGAUGACACAAUUCAAACAUUU